rnacentral:rRNA from 1 species
GACGUAGGGCGCGAGCGUUGUCCGGAUUUAUUGGGCGUAAAGAGCUCGUAGGCGGCUUGUCGCGUCGUCCGUGAAAACUUGGGGCUCAACCCCAAGCUUGCGGUCGAUACGGGCAGGCUCGAGUUCGGUAGGGGAGACUGGAAUUCCUGGUGUAGCGGUGAAAUGCGCAGAUAUCAGGAGGAACACCGGUGGCGAAGGCGGGUCUCUGGGCCGAUACUGACGCUGAGGAGCGAAAGCGUGGGGAGCAAACCGG